rnacentral:tRNA from 1 species
GCCCAAUUGGUGGAAUGGUAGACACUCCAGGCUUAAGAUCUGUUGACUGUAAAGUCGUGCUGGUUCGAGUCCAGCAUUGGGUA